rnacentral:rRNA from 1 species
GAUGAGCGCUGGCGGCGUGCCUAAUACAUGCAAGUCGAGCGAACGGACGAGAAGCUUGCUUUUCUGAUGUUAGCGGCGGACGGGUGAGUAACACGUGGAUAACCUACCUAUAAGACUGGGAUAACUUCGGGAAACCGGAUCUAAUACCGGAUAAUAUUUUGAACCGCAUGGUUCAAAAGUGAAAGACGGUCUUGCUGUCACUUAUAGAUGGAUCCGCGCUGCAUUAGCUAGUUGGUAAGGUAACGGCUUACCAAGGCAACGAUGCAUAGCCGACCUGAGAGGGUGAUCGGCCACACUGGAACUGAGACACGGUCCAGACCCCUACGGGAGGCAGCAGUAGGGAAUCUUCCGCAAUGGGCGAAAGCCUGACGGAGCAACGCCGCGUGAGUGAUGAAGGUCUUCGGAUCGUAAAACUCUGUUAUUAGGGAAGAACAUAUGUGUAAGUAAAUGUGCACAUCUUGACGGUACCUAAUCAGAAAGCCACGGCUAACUACGUG